rnacentral:tRNA from 1 species
CCCAUGGUGUAGUGGUCACUGCACUCGCCUUGCACGCGGGAGACCCGGGUUCGAUUCCCGGCGGG